rnacentral:rRNA from 1 species
GACGAACGCUGGCGGCGUGCUUAACACAUGCAAGUCGAACGGAAAGGCCCUGCUUUUGUGGGGUGCUCGAGUGGCGAACGGGUGAGUAACACGUGAGUAACCUGCCCUUGACUUUGGGAUAACUUCAGGAAACUGGGGCUAAUACCGGAUAGGAGCUCCUGCUGCAUGGUGGGGGUUGGAAAGUUUCGGCGGUUGGGGAUGGACUCGCGGCUUAUCAGCUUGUUGGUGGGGUAGUGGCUUACCAAGGCUUUGACGGGUAGCCGGCCUGAGAGGGUGACCGGCCACAUUGGGACUGAGAUACGGCCCAGACUCCUACGGGAGGCAGCAGUGGGGAAUAUUGCACAAUGGGCGGAAGCCUGAUGCAGCAACGCCGCGUGCGGGAUGACGGCCUUCGGGUUGUAAACCGCUUUCGCCUGUGACGAAGCGUGAGUGACGGUAAUGGGUAAAGAAGCACCGGCUAACUACGUGCCAGCAGCCGCGGUGAUACGUAGGGUGCGAGCGUUGUCCGGAUUUAUUGGGCGUAAAGGGCUCGUAGGUGGUUGAUCGCGUCGGAAGUGUAAUCUUGGGGCUUAACCCUGAGCGUGCUUUCGAUACGGGUUGACUUGAGGAAGGUAGGGGAGAAUGGAAUUCCUGGUGGAGCGGUGGAAUGCGCAGAUAUCAGGAGGAACACCAGUGGCGAAGGCGGUUCUCUGGGCCUUUCCUGACGCUGAGGAGCGAAAGCGUGGGGAGCGAACAGGCUUAGAUACCCUGGUAGUCCACGCUGUAAACGGUGGGUACUAGGUGUGGGGUCCAUUCCACGGGUUCCGUGCCGUAGCUAACGCUUUAAGUACCCCGCCUGGGGAGUACGGCCGCAAGGCUAAAACUCAAAGGAAUUGACGAGGCCCCGCACAAGCGGCGGAGCAUGCGGAUUAAUUCGAUGCAACGCGUAGAACCUUACCUGGGUUUGACAUGGAUCGGGAGUGCUCAGAGAUGGGUGUGCCUCUUUUUGGGGUCGGUUCACAGGUGGUGCAUGGCUGUCGUCAGCUCGUGUCGUGAGAUGUUGGGUUAAGUCCCGCAACGAGCGCAACCCUUGUUCACUGUUGCCAGCACGUUAUGGUGGGGACUCAGUGGAGACCGCCGGGGUCAACUCGGAGGAAGGUGGGGAUGACGUCAAGUCAUCAUGCCCCUUAUGUCCAGGGCUUCACGCAUGCUACAAUGGCUGGUACAGAGAGUGGCGAGCCUGUGAGGGUGAGCGAAUCUCGGAAAGCCGGUCUCAGUUCGGAUUGGGGUCUGCAACUCGACCUCAUGAAGUCGGAGUCGCUAGUAAUCGCAGAUCAGCAACGCUGCGGUGAAUACGUUCCCGGG